rnacentral:rRNA from 1 species
UACGUAGGGUGCGAGCGUUGUCCGGAAUUAUUGGGCGUAAAGAGCGUGUAGGCGGCCUGGAAGGUCAGCUGUGAAAACUCGAGGCUCAACCUCGAGACGUCGGUUGAAACCACCUGGCUAGAGUCCGGAAGAGGAGUGUGGAAUUCCCGGUGUAGCGGUGGAAUGCGCAGAUAUCGGGAGGAACACCAGCGGCGAAGGCGGCGACCUGGACAGGUACUGACACUCAACUACGAAAGCGUGGGGAGCAAACAGG